rnacentral:rRNA from 1 species
UGAACGCUAGCGACAGGCUUAACACAUGCAAGUCGAGGGGUAACAGGGUAGCAAUACCGCUGACGACCGGCGCACGGGUGAGUAACGCGUAUGCAACCUGCCUAUAACUGGGGAAUAGCUCCCUGAAAGGGGAAUUAACACCGCAUAACACUAUUGAUUCGCAUGGAUUGGUAGUUAAAUGUAGCGAUACAGGUUAUAGAUGGGCAUGCGUGACAUUAGCUAGUUGGUGAGGUAACGGCUCACCAAGGCUACGAUGUCUAGGGGUUCUGAGAGGAAGGUCCCCCACACUGGUACUGAGACACGGACCAGACUCCUACGGGAGGCAGCAGUGAGGAAUAUUGGUCAAUGGGCGCAAGCCUGAACCAGCCAUGUCGCGUGCAGGACGACUGCCCUAUGGGUUGUAAACUGCUUUUAUAGUAGAAGAAACACAUCUACGUGUAGAUGUCUGCCAGUAUACUAUGAAUAAGCAUCGGCUAACUCCGUG